GUUUCCUGACAGGCUUGGACUUCCAUGGGUCCCUUCCCACCCGCCCCCCCAGUCGGUACCAUUUUGGCCCCCUAACAACCCUGUGCCCCAUUUAACUCCACCCAGGAUGGACGCCUGGAGGCGUCCUUUGGAGGGGGGGUACUGUCAGGAUCCUGCCCUGACAGUCUUGUCUGUCCUGUCUUUGUUUAAUGUGUCUCUGUUUAUAUUGUGCCUGAGCACAUGGUUGUGUCUUUGUUUAUGUUGGCCGUGUGCUCCUCUUGUCCUGCCUCCUCGUUUUCGAUCACCACGCCCCCUUGUUUAGUCCUUGUCUUUCCAAUUAGGUUCACCUGUUCCUUGUGUGCUCUGCUCCCUUUAUAUUGGGCUCAUUUCCCUCUUGUCUUGGCUGGUUCGUUUUGUGUGUGCCUUGUGUACAGUCUCUUGUUUGCAUAUUUAGUCUCGUUAGAACUCUUUCGUCAGAAUAUUGCAUCUUGUCUAGUUCACUCUUGUUUUUGUUUGUUCCCGUCUAGUUCCGGUCUUUGUGGUUUAGUUUUUAUUUUAACCCUAGGCAUUGGUUUGCAAGUUUACUUUUGAUCUGUUGCUCUUGUCUCUCCUUUGUGUUGGUUCCUGCCCUGUUUCCUGAGUCCUCCCUGGUCGCUGGUUCUUCUGACCUGACAGACAUUCUGGUGCUUCAAGAGUUCCCAUCAACAGAGUCAAGCCUGUGGUUCCUUGAGUUGCUACCAGGUCUCCUUUGCCACAGAGUCUGGAACUACCUCCUUCCGACCAGCCUGUUCUCCUGUCGUGUGCCCUGCCCUAUUGUGUGGACUGUCUUCCUGCCUCAUCUGUUUGUGUUCUCUCUCUUGUUAAUAAACUGUUCUCCCUGUUAAUUCUGCAGUUGGGUCCUCCCUUGCCAAACCCUGACAAGAAUAUAUCCUCUAUCGUAUUCUACAGCAAAAACAAUCAGACCGCCUUGCUAUCACUAGUUUUAUUUUGAUUUCCCGAGUCCACUAUUAGCUUAUAGUCCGUUAGCAUCGCCAGCGUGGUUGCCGCUAAACCCGUGUGCAUUGCUAAUACUUUAUUCACACACAUUACCAUUGCUUUACUCACUGUUAUUUGCUUUAAUGGCGGAUGUAUGUCUACCUUUGAGUGCAGGUGAUGACACGUUCCGAAUGCAGCUCGAGCUGGAGGCCGUGGAGAAGCAGAUUCGGGUCCUGGAGGAGAGGCAGGCCCAGCUGAAAAAGUGGAGAGCCGCGCUGGAAACCUCCCGGGCUGAUGCACACAAGUCCAGGGUAAGUAUACAGUGGGCUGCUAACAGUCCCACCACCUCUAGUCCAUGUGUUUCUCUGCACAGGCCCAGUGCACCCAGGACGCAAUCUUCCCAGAUGUCCUUCACUCCGGCACCGGGACACCACGGACCCUGAGUACAAGCAGAGCGGAGGAUGCGAGCCAGGCCGGGGUGUUGACCUCUCCCCCUCCGGUCUUCGAGAUCUCCACAAGGAACCGCUUCUCUCCCCUCCGCGAGACAGAACGCGACACUGUGAUG
ensembl:lncRNA